rnacentral:rRNA from 1 species
GAUGAACGCUGGCGGCGUGCUUAACACAUGCAAGUCGAACGGUGAAGCAGGAGCUUGCUCUUGUGGAUCAGUGGCGAACGGGUGAGUAACCCGUGAGCAACCUGCCCCUGACUCUGGGAUAAGCGCUGGAAACGGCGGCUAAUACUGGAUAUGUGAUGUGACCGCAUGGUCUGCAUCUGGAAAGAAUUUCGGUUGGGGAUGGGCUCGCGGCCUAUCAGCUUGUUGGUGAGGUAAUGGCUCACCAAGGCGUCGACGGGUAGCCGGCCUGAGAGGGUGACCGGCCACACUGGGACUGAGACACGGCCCAGACUCCUACGGGAGGCAGCAGUGGGGAAUAUUGCACAAUGGGCGGAAGCCUGAUGCAGCAACGCCGCGUGAGGGAUGACGGCCUUCGGGUUGUAAACCUCUUUUAGCAGGGAAGAAGCGAAAGUGACGGUACCUGCAGAAAAAGCACCGGCUAACUACGUGCCAGCAGCCGCCGUAA